UUAAGCGACUAAGCGUACACGGUGGAUGCCCUGGCAGUCAGAGGCGAUGAAGGACGUGCUAAUCUGCGAAAAGCGUCGGUAAGGUGAUAUGAACCGUUAUAACCGGCGAUGUCCGAAUGGGGAAACCCAGUGUGAUUCGUCACACUAUCGUUAACUGAAUACAUAGGUUAACGAGGCGAACCGGGGGAACUGAAACAUCUAAGUACCCCGAGGAAAAGAAAUCAACCGAGAUUCCCCCAGUAGCGGCGAGCGAACGGGGAGCAGCCCAGAGUCUGAAUCAGCUUGUGUGUUAGUGGAACGGUCUGGAAAGUCCGACGGUACAGGGUGAUAGUCCCGUACACCAAAAUGCACAGGUUGUGAACUCGAAGAGUAGGGCGGGGCACGUGGUAUCCUGUCUGAAUAUGGGGGGACCAUCCUCCAAGGCUAAAUACUCCUGACUGACCGAUAGUGAACCAGUACCGUGAGGGAAAGGCGAAAAGAACCCCGGCGAGGGGAGUGAAAAAGAACCUGAAACCGUGUACGUACAAGCAGUGGGAGCACCUUCGGGUGUGACUGCGUACCUUUUGUAUAAUGGGUCAGCGACUUAUAUUCUGUAGCAAGGUUAACCGUAUAGGGGAGCCGCAGGGAAACCGAGUCUUAACUGGGCGUUAAGUUGCAGGGUAUAGACCCGAAACCCGGUGAUCUAGCCAUGGGCAGGUUGAAGGUUGGGUAACACUAACUGGAGGACCGAACCGACUAAUGUUGAAAAAUUAGCGGAUGACUUGUGGCUGGGGGUGAAAGGCCAAUCAAACCGGGAGAUAGCUGGUUCUCCCCGAAAGCUAUUUAGGUAGCGCCUCGUGAAUUCAUCUUCGGGGGUAGAGCACUGUUUCGGCUAGGGGGUCAUCCCGACUUACCAACCCGAUGCAAACUACGAAUACCGAAGAAUGUUAUCACGGGAGACACACGGCGGGUGCUAACGUCCGUCGUGAAGAGGGAAACAACCCAGACCGCCAGCUAAGGUCCCAAAGUCAUGGUUAAGUGGGAAACGAUGUGGGAAGGCACAGACAGCCAGGAUGUUGGCUUAGAAGCAGCCAUCAUUUAAAGAAAGCGUAAUAGCUCACUGGUCGAGUCGGCCUGCGCGGAAGAUGUAACGGGGCUAAACCAUGCACCGAAGCUGCGGCAGCGACACUAUGUGUUGUUGGGUAGGGGAGCGUUCUGUAAGCCUGCGAAGGUGACCUGUGAGGGUUGCUGGAGGUAUCAGAAGUGCGAAUGCUGACAUAAGUAACGAUAAAGCGGGUGAAAAGCCCGCUCGCCGGAAGACCAAGGGUUCCUGUCCAACGUUAAUCGGGGCAGGGUGAGUCGACCCCUAAGGCGAGGCCGAAAGGCGUAGUCGAUGGGAAACAGGUUAAUAUUCCUGUACUUGGUGUUACUGCGAAGGGGGGACGGAGAAGGCUAUGUUAGCCGGGCGACGGUUGUCCCGGUUUAAGCAUGUAGGCUGGUUAUCCAGGCAAAUCCGGAUAAUCAAGGCUGAGGUGUGAUGACGAGGCACUACGGUGCUGAAGUAACAAAUGCCCUGCUUCCAGGAAAAGCCUCUAAGCAUCAGGUAACAUCAAAUCGUACCCCAAACCGACACAGGUGGUCAGGUAGAGAAUACCAAGGCGCUUGAGAGAACUCGGGUGAAGGAACUAGGCAAAAUGGUGCCGUAACUUCGGGAGAAGGCACGCUGGUGUGUAGGUGAAGUCCCUGCGGAUGGAGCUGAGACCAGUCGAAGAUACCAGCUGGCUGCAACUGUUUAUUAAAAACACAGCACUGUGCAAACACGAAAGUGGACGUAUACGGUGUGACGCCUGCCCGGUGCCGGAAGGUUAAUUGAUGGGGUUAUCCGUAAGGAGAAGCUCUUGAUCGAAGCCCCGGUAAACGGCGGCCGUAACUAUAACGGUCCUAAGGUAGCGAAAUUCCUUGUCGGGUAAGUUCCGACCUGCACGAAUGGCGUAAUGAUGGCCAGGCUGUCUCCACCCGAGACUCAGUGAAAUUGAACUCGCUGUGAAGAUGCAGUGUACCCGCGGCAAGACGGAAAGACCCCGUGAACCUUUACUAUAGCUUGACACUGAACAUUGAGCCUUGAUGUGUAGGAUAGGUGGGAGGCUUUGAAGCGUGGACGCCAGUCUGCGUGGAGCCAACCUUGAAAUACCACCCUUUAAUGUUUGAUGUUCUAACGUUGGCCCCUGACCGGGGUUGCGGACAGUGUCUGGUGGGUAGUUUGACUGGGGCGGUCUCCUCCCAAAGCGUAACGGAGGAGCACGAAGGUUAGCUAAUCCUGGUCGGACAUCAGGAGGUUAGUGCAAUGGCAUAAGCUAGCUUGACUGCGAGCGUGACGGCGCGAGCAGGUGCGAAAGCAGGUCAUAGUGAUCCGGUGGUUCUGAAUGGAAGGGCCAUCGCUCAACGGAUAAAAGGUACUCCGGGGAUAACAGGCUGAUACCGCCCAAGAGUUCAUAUCGACGGCGGUGUUUGGCACCUCGAUGUCGGCUCAUCACAUCCUGGGGCUGAAGUAGGUCCCAAGGGUAUGGCUGUUCGCCAUUUAAAGUGGUACGCGAGCUGGGUUUAGAACGUCGUGAGACAGUUCGGUCCCUAUCUGCCGUGGGCGCUGGAGAAUUGAGGGGGGCUGCUCCUAGUACGAGAGGACCGGAGUGGACGCAUCACUGGUGUUCGGGUUGUCAUGCCAAUGGCACUGCCCGGUAGCUAAAUGCGGAAGAGAUAAGUGCUGAAAGCAUCUAAGCACGAAACUUGCCCCGAGAUGAGUUCUCCCUGAGACUUUAAGUCUCCUGAAGGAACGUUGAAGACGACGACGUUGAUAGGCCGGGUGUGUAAGCGCAGCGAUGCGUUGAGCUAACCGGUACUAAUGAACCGUGAGGCUUAACCU
rnacentral:rRNA from 1 species